rnacentral:sRNA from 1 species
AAUCUCUCUCCUAAAAUGAAGCACGAGGAUAAGCAGAGAUCCUACAAGAAUCCCGGAUGAUGAUCCCAGAUUGCCAGCGCAGGUUGGAAGCCGCAUAUUUGGAUCUUCAACAGAUAUUAGAAAGUGAAAAAGACUUGGAAGAAACUGAGGAAUAUAAAGAAGCACGUUUAGUACUGGAUUCAGUGAAGUUAGAAGCCUGAAACUUUUCUCGUAUGGGGUGGUUUUUGCAUUAAAUCCUGGGGUCCAUUUUACAAUCCAUUAUUUUUGACCACUGCUGUGUAUUCAAGUAGUAUGAGAAUGUGAUUGUUUUUAUCUGGUUACAUAUAUAUUUCUUUGUCUAAUUUAAUAUGUCAAAUAAA